rnacentral:rRNA from 1 species
UACGUAGGGACCAAGCGUUGUUCGGAUUUACUGGGCGUAAAGGGCGCGUAGGCGGCGCGGUAAGUCACUUGUGAAAUCUCUGAGCUUAACUCAGAACGGCCAAGUGAUACUGCAGUGCUAGAGUGUGGAAGGGGCAAUCGGAAUUCUUGGUGUAGCGGUGAAAUGCGUAGAUAUCAAGAGGAACACCUGCGGCGAAGGCGGGUUGCUGGGCCGACACUGACGCUGAUGCGCGAAAGCCAGGGGAGCGAACGGG